ACUGAGAACACUCACAGGUACUGGCAAUGCGAUGGUAAGCACACCGGCCAAGGCACAAAUGGAACCGAUGAGGCGUCCGAGAUAUGUGUGAGGUGUUAUGUCACCGUAGCCAAU